CCGGUGCGUGACACGAGUAAUCGCGUAAUGUAGUUCUUCGGGCAGAAGGCAGUACUGAAUUGAUUACACGGACAUGUUCUCAUAUAACUUCUCUAUAAUGCUGUUUAACUACGAUGGCCGGUCCAAUGAGAAGAGUUUGAAUGGUCCAAGCAAGCCAUUCAUGUGAACAUUCUGAAACAAAUAAAUUGGUUAGUGGCUACUUACCUAAGCUGGAACGCCAAUCUUCUUCCUAGUAGGAGUUUUUGAUGUAGUGAAUAUCGAAUGUUUUAGUGGAGCCACUUCCCAGAUCUUCAUAGUAUUCCAAUUCUCUUUUGUCCAGUUAAAGCCAUUGUUAGCUCCUUGAAGGUGAUUUAGCCGUGUAGAUCCCAAAUUUUUGUGGUAGCCAAGCAUAAGUUGAAAGAAUAUGCGGAAUUGUAUUAAAGAUUAAGAGAGUUAUGAAGAACAAGAGAGUUUGUAUGUGAG
rnacentral:sRNA from 1 species